rnacentral:rRNA from 1 species
GCUGGUCGAACGGCAGCGCGGGAGCAAUCCUGGCGGCGAGUGGCGAACGGGUGAGUAAUACAUCGGAACGGGCCCGAUCGUGGGGGAUAAAGCACCGAAAGCUGUGCUAAUACCGCAUACGAUCUACGGAUGAAAGCAGGGGAUCGCAAGACCUUGCGCGAAUGGAGCGGCCGAUGGCAGAUUAGGUAAUUGGUGAGGUAAAGGCUCACCAAGCCUUCGAUCUGUAGCUGGUCUGAGAGGACGACCAGCCACACUGGGACUGAAACACGGCCCAGACUCCUACGGGAGGCAGCAGUGGGGAAUUUUGGACAAUGGGCGAAAGCCUGAUCCAACCCUGCCGCGUGCAGGAUGAAGGCCUUCGGGUUGUAAACUGCUUUUGUACGGAACGAAACGGCCUUUUCUAAUAAAGAGGGCUAAUGACGGUACCGUAAGAAUAACCACCGGCUAACUACGUGCCAGCAGCCGCGGUAAUACGUAGGGUGCAAGCGUUAAUCGGAAUUACUGGGCGUAAAGCGUGCCCAGGCGGUUAUGUAAGACAGUUGUGA